rnacentral:pre_miRNA from 1 species
UCUCUACUCCCUCCGUCUCAUAUUAAGUGAUUCAAAAUUGUUCAAAUAUGAAUGUAUCUAUACCUAAAAAAGUCUAACGUCUAGAUACAUGUAAGAAAUCACUUAAUAUGAGACGGAGUGAGUAUGUA